rnacentral:tRNA from 1 species
UGGUGUUGGAUGAUGGAGUCGAACCACCCGAGACCCUUUCGAGUCGGCAGAUUUACAGUCUGCUUCGCUACCUCUACGAUACUAAUCCAAC